rnacentral:misc_RNA from 1 species
UCAAACUUGGUCAUUUAGAGGAAGUAAAAGUCGUAACAAGGUAUCCGUAGGUGAACCUGCGGAUGGAUCAUUACCAAUUUUUAUAUAUGUUAGUUUUUAUCUGCGCUUCGGUGUAGGUAAACAACUACUACUGUAAACGUUGAACUAGAUCAUUGGUUGUGGAUUGCUUGGGAAUGGACGAAGCGACAAGCCUCUUCCGGACAGGCAACCCCACACCGAUAACCUUUUCAUACAAUUUACCAAUAUAUACUACAAACAAAAACAAAAGCUAUAAUAGGAUUUAACUAAAGCUGAGUGGGUAAAAGCCUCAGCUUCAAAACAAAUAACUAUUACAACUUUCAGCAAUGGAUCUCUAGGCUCUCGCAUCGAUGAAGAACGCAGC